rnacentral:rRNA from 1 species
UUGGUUAAGUUAGAAAGGGCGCACGGUGGAUGCCUUGGCACUAGGAGCCGAAGAAGGACGGGACUAACACCGAUAUGCUUUGGGGAGCUGUACGUAAGCGUUGAUCCAGAGAUUUCCGAAUGGGGGAACCCACUAUCUUUAGUCGGAUAGUAUCCUUACGUGAAUACAUAGCGUGAGGAAGGCAGACCCAGGGAACUGAAACAUCUAAGUACCUGGAGGAAGAGAAAGAAAAAUCGAUUUCCUGAGUAGCGGCGAGCGAAACGGAAAGAGCCCAAACCAAGAAGCUUGCUUCUUGGGGUUGUAGGACACUCUAUACGGAGUUACAAAAGAAAGUUAUAAAUGAAGCGGUCUGGAAAGGCCCGCCAAAGACGGUAACAGCCCGGUAGUUGAAAUGGCUUUCCCUCCAGAGUGGAUCCUGAGUACGGCGGAACACGUGAAAUUCCGUCGGAAUCCGGGAGGACCAUCUCCCAAGGCUAAAUACUCCCUAGUGACCGAUAGUGAACCAGUACCGUGAGGGAAAGGUGAAAAGCACCCCGGAAGGGGAGUGAAACAGUUCCUGAAACCGUGUGCCUACAAGUAGUUAGAGCCCGUUAAUGGGUGAUAGCGUGCCUUUUGUAGAAUGAACCGGCGAGUUACGAUUUGUUGCAAGGUUAAGCGGAAAAAGCGGAGCCGUAGCGAAAGCGAGUCUGAAUAGGGCGCAUAAGUAACAGGUCGUAGACCCGAAACCAGGUGAUCUACCCAUGUCCAGGAUGAAGGUAAGGUAAUACUUACUGGAGGUCCGAACCCACGCACGUUGAAAAGUGCGGGGAUGAGGUGUGGGUAGCGGAGAAAUUCCAAUCGAACUUGGAGAUAGCUGGUUCUCUCCGAAAUAGCUUUAGGGCUAGCCUCGAGGUAAAGAGUCAUGGAGGUAGAGCACUGUUUGGACUAGGGGCCCUUCUCGGGUUACCGAAUUCAGAUAAACUCCGAAUGCCAUGUACUUAUACUCGGGAGUCAGACUGCGAGUGAUAAGAUCCGUAGUCGAAAGGGAAACAGCCCAGACCACCAGUUAAGGUCCCCAAAUAUAUGUUAAGUGGAAAAGGAUGUGGGGUUGCUUAGACAACCAGGAUGUUGGCUUAGAAGCAGCCACCAUUGAAAGAGUGCGUAAUAGCUCACUGGUCGAGUGACCCCGCGCCGAAAAUGU